rnacentral:tRNA from 1 species
CUGUAAUGGUUAGCACUCUGGACUUUUAAUCCAGCGACCCGAGUUCAAAUCUCGG